rnacentral:rRNA from 1 species
AGUGAACGCUGGCGGUAGGCCUAACACAUGCAAGUCGAACGGCAGCACAGUAAGAGCUUGCUCUUACGGGUGGCGAGUGGCGGACGGGUGAGGAAUACAUCGGAAUCUACUUUUUCGUGGGGGAUAACGUAGGGAAACUUACGCUAAUACCGCAUACGACCUACGGGUGAAAGCAGGGGAUAUUCGGACCUUGCGCGAUUGAAUGAGCCGAUGUCGGAUUAGCUAGUUGGCGGGGUAAAGGCCCACCAAGGCGACGAUCCGUAGCUGGUCUGAGAGGAGGGUCAGCCACACGGGAACUGGGACAGGGUCCAGACUCCUACGGGAGGCAGCAGUGGGGAAUAUUGGACAAUGGGGGCAAGCCUGAUCCAGCCAUACCGCGUGGGUGAAGAAGGCCUUCGGGUUGUAAAGCCCUUUUGUUGGGAAAGAAAAGCAGCAGGUUAAUACCCCGCUGUUCUGACGGUACCCAAAGAAUAAGCACCGGCUAACUUCGUG